UACAGAGGUCUCAAGCGUUGUUCGGAUUCAUUGGGCGUAAAGGGUGCGUAGGUGGCGCGCUAAGUCAGGUGUGAAAUUUCGGAGCUCAACUCCGAAACUGCAUUUGAUACUGGCGUGCUUGAGGACUGGAGAGGAGACUGGAAUUUACGGUGUAGCAGUGAAAUGCGUAGAGAUCGUAAGGAAGACCAGUGGCGAAGGCGGGUCUCUGGACAGUUCCCGACGCUGAGGCACGAAGGUCAGGGGAGCAAACGGG
rnacentral:rRNA from 1 species